UACGUAGGUGGCAAGCGUUGUCCGGAAUUAUUGGGCGUAAAGCGCGCGCAGGCGGUCCUUUAAGUCUGAUGUGAAAGCCCACGGCUCAACCGUGGAGGGUCAUUGGAAACUGGGGGACUUGAGUACAGAAGAGAAGAGUGGAAUUCCACGUGUAGCGGUGAAAUGCGUAGAGAUGUGGAGGAACACCAGUGGCGAAGGCGACUCUUGGUCUGUGAACUGACGCUUGAGGCGCGAAAGCGUGGGGAGCAAACAGG
rnacentral:rRNA from 1 species